UCUGGGGUCGUCUAAUGUUAGGACAGCGGCCUUUGAAGCCGUGAAUCGGGGUUCAAAUCCCUGCCCCCGAGCCA
rnacentral:tRNA from 1 species